rnacentral:lncRNA from 1 species
UGAUCGGGUCACGAUGUUGAGACCCAGCUCAUAUAUAGAGGUUUUUUAACAUGACCAGUUAACUGAGGACCUUAUCUCGGCUAAGCACCAACGCAUGGCCCGAGUUUGUACCAACACCAACCUUAACAGCUUAGAAGGAGAUUGUCUGACCCAGUAAGUAACCCUCUAGACAAAUGAACUAGAGUUACCUUUCCUCCUGCCUUGCCCCCACCUACAG